GGGUGGAGAUGAGGAAUAUAUUAAUAGUUCUGAUUGUUGGAGUGAGAUAGUAAAGAUAUAGAUGUAGAUACUGUUAGAGGAGUAAAUCUACCUAGUAGAAGGAGAAGCAAGAAAACUAGGUAUGAAGAAAAUUGUGAGUUUUUUGUGUUUGAACUUGGAAUGAUUUUUGUUUGUGCAAAAAAGUUUAGAAAAUUUGUUGCAGAUUAUGCUGUAGAGUAAGCCAGUUAAAGUUAAAACCUAAUGAAAAAUAGAAAAUAAGGGUGAAGUGUAUUGCAGCUAAUUGCAAUUGAUUUCUGUUUGCUUCUACUGAUAGGGAUUCAGGUGAUUUUAUUGUUAAGAACUAUAACCCUAUUCACAAGUGUAUACCUCUAAACAAGAACAAGAUGUGUGACUCAAAGCUGGUUGCUAGAAAGUUCAAGGAGAGAAUUUCUCAGUGAUACAUUAGGAUUUGGGAAAUUCAGGAUUUGGUAAGAGAGGUGUUGGGUCUUUAUGUAGGUAAAACUAUUUGUUAUAGGGGUAAACAGAUUGUUAUGAAGGAAAAUAAGGGAGAUUGGAAGCUGGAAUUUUCCAGAUUAUGUGACUAUGUAGAUAUGAUCAAGACAACAAAUCCUGAAAGUUUUUGUUGGAUAAAAAUUGACAAAGAAACUGAACUAGGGAAGAACCUCUUUGUUUAUUUAUAUGUGUGCUUUCAUGCCUUCAAGCAAGGAUGGUUAGAUGGGUGUAGAAAAAUUAUUAGUUUUGAUGGAUGCUUUCUCAAAGGAACUUGUAAGGGUGAGUUGUUGGUUGCUGUGGGGAAAAAUGACAACAACCUAAUGUAUCCUAUUGCAAAGACAGUUGUGGAUACUAAAACAAAACAUAGCUGGGACUGGUUCAUAAGGUAUCUGAUUGUAGAUCUAAAUCUGGGAACUAGUGAAGGCUUGACUGUAAUGUCAGACCAACAAAAGGGUCUUGUUCCUGUUUUGAUGGAUCUACUACCAAAUGCUGAGAGAAGAAUGUAUGCUAGACAUAUUUGGAGCAAUUGGCAUGUGCACUGGAAAGGAGAAGAGAGAAGGAGAUGCAAUUGGCAAAAGCAAGCUUUGAAGUAAAGUUUAGAGAGGAGAUGCAAGCAAUGUCAAGUCUAGGUAAGAAAGAAUAACUGAGGACAUGCUUGUUAAUCCUCUUAUUUCUUGGUGUAGGGCAUAUUUCAAAACACAUUCCAAAUGUGAUAUUGUAGAAAAUAAUAUGUGUGAGACUUUCAAUUCUUGAAUCUUAGCUGCUAGACCUAAGUCCAUAAUCAUAAUGUUAGAGGAUACCAGGUAUCAAAUGAUGAAUAGACAUGUAGAUAUGAUCAAAUUUGUAAAAACAUAGAUUUCAGACAUGACACCUAUGGCAAGAACUAUCUUAGAAGCUAAUAAGCAAUAUUCAAAUAGGUGUAGAGUACUAUAGAAUGGAGUUAACGGUUUUGAAAUUGAUGAUGGGGGUUACACAUUUGUUGUUCACUUGGACAAGAAGUAUUGUGAUUGUAGGUUAUGGAUGUUAAGAGGUAUUCCUUGUCCUCAUGUCAUUUGUGCUUAUUAUUACUUGAAUGAAGAUCUUGAUCAGCAUGUAAAGCACUGGUAUAGGAAAGAAACCUUUCUUAAGUCAUAUAACCAUUUCAUUCAACCAAUUACCAAUAUGAGAACGUGGACGGAAACCAGAAAUCCAUCAAUUGAACCUCCAAAAUCAAGAAAGAUGCCAGGCAGACCUGGAAAGAACAGAAGGAAGAAGAAGGAUGAGCCAAAAAAUGGGGCAAACUCUCAAAAAAAAGGUGUCAAGAUCACCUAUUCAAGGUGCAGCAAGUUGACCAUAACAAGACUGUGUGUGCCAAAAUGAAUGGGAUGGGGAGCAGUAAUAGUAGUCAACCUAGUACUCAGCCUGCAGCUUCAUGAAAUCCACCAACCCCACACUCAAGUUCUAUUUGUGGUGACAUCAGUGCAAUGGCAAGACAUACCUACACUCAAAGUCAGGCAACAAGAUCAAUAUCCACCUUUCAUACCUAUGCAACUACACAAUUCAGUCAAUCAGGAUCUAUUUGUGCUGACACGGCUGCUGUGCCAAGAGCACCUCAAAGAAAGGUGUCAAGUGCUACUGUUAGAGGUCAAGGUGUUGCUGCUGAUGGUAGAGGUAAAGGUUGUUCUAGUAGGGAUGGUGGUUCUGGUAGUGGUCAAUGUGGUGCUGAUAGGAGAGGUGAGGAAGGAAUUGGUAUAGGUUAAGGAGGGAGUGGUAGAGGAUCGGCAAGGAAAAUAGCCAAUGCAAGAGGAACCCCAUUUGAAAGUGGAAGAAAUGCUUCUUCUAAUCAAGUACCACCUUUUCCAACCAACAAGAGGUCAUACAAUGCUACCUCAUUUGCUGCUGCUACUGGAUACAAAAGGCUUGCAAUUGGUUUUGGUGUUUACUCUGAUCCAGCAACUGGAACCCAAGUCCUGAUACAUCAAGUGAGAGGAUUAUUUAUGGAGGUAUAAAUUUAAGGAGUGUUUCACCAACCAAUAUAGAUAUUGGUUUUAAACCUAGUGGCCUGAAGUGGAAUAGAAAAGAUACAGUCACCAGACACAAUUGCAACAAAUGAAAGUAAAUAAGAGAAAAAAAGUGGAUGCGGCCAAGUCUUCUUCAUUAGUUGAAUCUUCAAAGAAGUAGUUCAUUUAGAAAUGAUUUGUACUAUAAUGAGGGUUAAUGACUUUGAACAAAUUGUGUUACUAGUUUUUUAACAACUUUUUCUUAGGCAGCAGUUAAUGAUUUUGGUGUGUGCGGCAGUAGAA